AAUGACCUGGCGGCAGGCUUACCCAUGCAUGUCGAGCGGAGCGAAGUGCUUGCACCCUUAGCUUAGCGGCGGACGGGUGAGUAAUGCUUAGGAAUCUGCCUAUUAGUGGGGGACAACGUUUCGAAAGGAACGCUAAUACCGCAUACGUCCUACGGGAGAAAGCAGGGGAUCUUCGGACCUUGUGCUAAUAGAUGAGCCUAAGUCGGAUUAGCUAGUUGGUGGGGUAAAGGCCUACCAAGGCGACGAUCUGUAGCGGGUCUGAGAGGAUGAUCCGCCACACUGGGACUGAGACACGGCCCAGACUCCUACGGGAGGCAGCAGUGGGGAAUAUUGGACAAUGGGCGAAAGCCUGAUCCAGCCAUGCCGCGUGUGUGAAGAAGGCCUUUUGGUUGUAAAGCACUUUAAGCGAGGAGGAGGCUUCUUUGGUUAAUACCCAAAGUAAGUGGACGUUACUCGCAGAAUAAGCACCGGCUAACUCUGUGCCAGCAGCCGCGGUAAUACUGAGGGUGCAAGCGUUAAUCGGAAUUACUGGGCGUAAAGCGUGCGUAGGCGGCUAAUUAAGUCAAAUGUGAAAUCCCCGAGCUUAACUUGGGAAUUGCAUUCGAUACUGGUUAGCUAGAGUAUGGGAGAGGAUGGUAGAAUUCCAGGUGUAGCGGUGAAAUGCGUAGAGAUCUGGAGGAAUACCGAUGGCGAAGGC
rnacentral:rRNA from 1 species